GGGCGCACCCUGAUCCAGCCAUUCCGCGUGAGUGAAGAAGGCCUUCGGGUUGUAAAGCUCUUUCGGCAGGAACGAAACGGUGAGCCCUAAUACCGAGUACUAAUGACGGUACCUGAAGAAUAAGCACCGGCUAACUACGUGCCAGCAGCCGCGGUAAUACGUAGGGUGCGAGCGUUAAUCGGAAUUACUGGGCGUAAAGCGUGCGCAGGCGGUUCCAUAAGACAGAUGUGAAAUCCCCGGGCUUAACCUGGGAACUGCGUUUGUGACUGUGGGGCUGGAGUUUGGGCAGAGGG
rnacentral:rRNA from 1 species